UUGAAGCGCACAGCCGCGCUUUUGAGUUACACAUUUGAAAGUCGGGGGGUUCCAUAUUGCAGUCUUGAGUUCGGUCUUCCUGGGAAGGUGGGGCACCAGCCCCAUGCCACGUUGCACGGAUCAGCUGGAGCAGAAUCCCGGCUUCCCUCCGGAUGAGCCUGGGGUUCAUACCCGUGCUCGCUGCCAAGGUGUCUCUGGCCCCUGCGGACACGAGUUUGCGACCUCUGAGUCACUGGGUGGGCAGGUCGGAAAGACCAGGGCGCCUCAGUCGGGAGCUCGCAGUCGUAUGGAGAGGGCAGGACCAGCCGGGGAGGAGGGCGGCGCGCGCGAGGGUCGCCUUCUUCCCAGGGCACCGGGGGCGUGGUUGCUGCGGGCGUGCGCCGAGAGGGCAGCGUUGGAAGCGGGCGCAGCUUCGGCAGACACAGGCGUGAGGGGCUGCGGAGCUCGAGGGCCGGCGCCAGGCUGCAGGGCACGGCCUCGCCCCGGCGCCCCUGCUUGCCUCUGCGGGAGGUGGGCGCGCCCGAGACGGAACCUGGGGCGUCAGAACGAAAGGCAGCGGCGCCGCGCUUCCCAGCCGGACAGCCUCCCGCGCAGCGCCCCGGCCGGAAGCCUCCUAGCCGCCGCUUCCCCUCGGGAAGGCGCGGGGCGGGCUGUCCGGCCCGUAGGGCUGUCGAGGUGGGAACAGAACAACCCCGGGGGCCCCCUUGAGGCGGCGAGGCCGGGAAGGGCGCGGGGCUGGAGGCCCGCGGCGCCAUGGCUCACGUCGGCUCCCGCAAGCGCUCGAGGAGUCGCAGCCGGUCCCGGGGACGGGGGUCGGAAAAGAGAAAGAAGAAGAGCAGGAAGGACGCCUCGAGGAACUGCUCGGCCUCCACAUCCCAAGGUCGCAAGGCCAGCACGGCCUCUGGGGCGGAGGGUGAGGACCACAGGCAUCGGGGAAAGGAGGCGCAGCCACUUCCCAGGGAAGUUGGGGCGAGCAGUGGUCGGGGACGCUCAGUCAUGCCUCUGUGCAGCCGGGCCUGAGAUGUGAGGGCCAGGCGCCGCAGGAGCCGGGAAGGGGCUCCUCUGGGAAGCUCCAUCUCUGUUCUGGAAAGCCCCUCAGGAAGCACUCACCCUGUAGACGGUCUGUGCCUGCCCCAGGCCAGAGCAGGGGACAAAGGUUUACCUCUUCCCCUCCUGGCCUUCCAGCCUCACCUUCUCCCUGCAUCACAGAGAGAAGCAAGCAGAAGGCCCGGAGGAGACCACGAUCCAGCUCCUCCUCCUCCUCUUCCAGUUCUUCUAGCUCCUCUUCUUCCUCCUCGUCCUCCUCCUCUUCCUCCAGUGAUGGCCGGAAGAAGCGGGGGAAGUACAAGGACAAGAAGAGGAGGAAGAAGAAGAAGAGGAAGAAGCUGAAGAAGAAGGGCAAGGAGAAGGCGGAAGCACAGCAGAUGGAGGCUCUGCCGGGCCCCUCGCUGGACCAGUGGCACCGAUCAGCUGGGGAGGAAGAGGAUGGCCCAGUCCUGACGGAUGAGCAGAAGUCCCGAAUCCAGGCCAUGAAGCCCAUGACCAAGGAGGAGUGGGAUGCCCGGCAGAGCAUCAUCCGCAAGGUGGUGGACCCUGAGACGGGG